AUCAGCCACCUCCUGCACACCUCCCACUGGGGAUGUGCCUGCAACCAAGCAAGAGGAAAGUGAAUACUCGGCUGUGAUGUCGUGCUUCAAACCAACAUGGGAGAUGGAGCUAUCAUUCACGUGUCUCAUCAGAGAAGUUGCAAGAUGCUCCCAAAUGACACCUCGUUACCUGUAUGCCCGUAGCUUCCAAAGAGAGCAGUAGAUUGAAGGACUGAUAUAUGAAAUAUUAUGCAUGCUGUUCUGAAAGCUGUUGCACUUCUGGGGAGCUACCCAAGAGGAACCAUUGUUAGAAUGUGGCAGGAAGCAAGUACACUCAAGCAGGAAGGCACCUACUACUUAGGACACACCCAGGUAGAAUACGAGGAAGAUGCUGCUGUCAGCUAUGACCUAGUCCAAAGCACCCAGUGGAACUGAUCUCAUUGGCUAACCCUCGGUCAUCUUAUAUGUACCUGCAUAGUUAGAGGACACAUCCUUGUAGCAACUGUUGCUAACGGUCCUUCGGGACCUAUUCUUUUCUUUUGAAUUCAGUCAGCACAGUCCAUUUAACCAGAGACUACAUAUCUCAGCCUCCCUUCCAGCUAGGAAUUGGCGAGGGCCAGUGAAAUAUGUGAAGUAUGAGGUUCAUCUUUAAGGUCAUGUAUUUAAAGACCAAUCCACUUGCCCAAACUUCCUGCCAGAGGUAAGUGGUCAAAGCUCAUGGGUGGGACAGCUGUUCUUACAUAAGAAUGAAAUAAAGUUCUCUUUUGAGACAUUGUGUUCUAGUCUUGUUACACAGCCUAGCCUGCACUCUGACCAUGAAAAUCACUCUGACUUCCAUUAUGAGAGGUGCAAAUUGUGGGAUCCACCAAAGAAAAUGGAUCUCCAGAUGAUGAAUUGCUAGGAGCAAAAGCUUAUAUCACCAUCCUAUUCCAGUGUCCUCAUUUCUGACAUGUACCUUUUGCUUUAUUGAACAGUCUAGACAUCAACUUGUGACCUUUGUCACUACCACCAUGUGCCGUUACUAACAUUGUUUACCUGACCUACACAUCUUUCUCUUCUGCUCUCUUUCUUGGUCCCUUUGAAGCAAAGAAUUAAGCCCAGUGCCUUCCUCAUUUCUGUAUUACUCUUGAAUGAAGAAAAUGAGUCAGUUGCCCACUCUGCAAAGAGUCAAACACUAUAAAAAUCAGCUCCAGUUUUUAUCUUCUCUCCUCUGACCUACAUCCUCCCUCAAACAGUUUCCAAACAAUAAUCACAAUAUAAAACAUUGUUUGAUGACUAGUAACAAGCAAUGGUCUUGAUUCUUGAGAUUUUACCCGCAGGUCACCUCUGCACCAUCUGGAAAGGCAUCAUGGAGAGCUACAUAAAGAAUGUCCACGAAUUAAAACCACGUGUAAAUGUUGGUGCUGUGCUGCUAUUUUUAUUUCCAAGAAUCAUGUGGACUCCAGUGAAGAAUACUAAAGUUUCACUGAGUGUAAUAUCUCUGUGUACAACAGAAUGGAAAGAAAGGAAGUCUCCUGGAAAGAGACCCACCUAAUUCAGGAUAAAAAUAACACAACUACAUUUCUGGGAAGGAGCAUAAGAAUUCAAAGGAAAAACUAUUCAGAAAAAAAUAAUUGG